rnacentral:tRNA from 1 species
GUGGUGGCUCAGUGGUAGGGCGCUUCCCCAGCACGUGCGAGGCCCUGGGUUUGAUCCUCAGCACCACA